ACGACCGUGGCCCGCCCACUGUGCGAAGUACGUCCGUCUUUUUUUUUUUUUCUUUGCGGAAAACAACUACGGCGGUUCCGAGACGAUAUAAUUACGCGGAAAAAAAAAAAAAAAUAAAAAUACGGACAUACUUCGCACGGUGGGUGGGCCACUGUCGU